CACGAACAAAUAAAACCUAGGGUAGCAGAAAGCACAAUCAAACACACUCGAAAAUUUUUGUAAUCAUACACUUAUGCAGUGGAAGGAUCUGUGUUCAACUUUUAAGGUACCUCGUGGAAUUCCAAGCGUUAAUCCACAUUCAAACCUGGGUGAGAAAAAAAAAACAAUAGGAGGAAAAAAAAAAGGCAAAAACCAAAUUGUUCAUUAUGAAAAUGCUUUUGAAUGCUUUCAGAUGGGUUCAACUUUCCCAGAACCUCAAGAACAUGUAAUAAUUAAUGUUAUGUAUUCAAUAUUAUUCUGCAUAUCCGUGUAAUUAUAAUACUAUAUCGCUCUUUAAGUAAUUCUCCAGAGAAGUCUCCCAGAUGUGAAAGGAGAAAACUGUAAGCAAAACCAUGACAUAUAGAUCUAACAGAAAAUUCAAAUUUAAUUCAUUUUCUCUCACAAGCUUAAAACCUUGAUGGGAUAAACAUAAAUAAAUAUAAGAAUCACUAAACCCAGAUACAUAUAUAAAAGAGAGGUUCAUACAAAAAGAAGGAAAACCAAAAACCAGAAUUGUACAGCUUGCUGAAAGCAACAAAGAUCAAUACUCUCUUAUAACUAACACGAAGACAGGAAUACACCAAUAACAUAAGAUAACAAGCUUGCAAACUUUUUAACUUUUCAGAUACAACAUAUAAAUAAACCCUAGAUAUGUAAACACUCAAAAGAGAUCGAGAAAAGAAACCCACAUCAAUUAAGGAAAAAAGUUUACAAAAAGAGCAUGCACUAAAAAGCUAUUAAUAAAGUAGAUCGACUAGUCAAAUUAACAAACUUGCUGGAUGAAGCAAAGUUAAUUAAUGAUCGGACCACAACGCUUGAUUCCCCCAGAAAGAAUGAAGAGAGAGAGAGACAGUACCAUACCCUUGUUCGGUGAGAAACUAGGAACAAUGGUCUCAGAGAGAAGAAAGUGAUAUCGAUGAUGUUGGCUAGCUUUUUUUUUGUGUUUGUAUUUUUUUUCUUUCUUCAACCAACAACAACAACAACACAAGAUGGGAGUGGUGGAAAUAUUGAGCUCUUGUUCAUCUUCUUCUUAAUUUUUUUUUUCUUUUUGGUGUAGUGAGAUGUGAGUAGUAGUAAUGAUGUUGGUGGGUUUAGGUUUGAGGGGGUGGUUGAAAGAGAAAAGUAAGAGGAGGAGGAGGAGGAUGAUGUGGGCACAAUGAUGGCGAUAGAGAACAAAGCAGAGGGACAUGAUGAUUUCUGGCGUUGAAACAGAGGCAGAAGAGGUUCAAGGAUUUUGUGCACCCUCGCUUUAUCUCUGACAUGGUAAACACUCCAUCCAUUUAUGAAACCUAUGGUAUUGCCUAGGUCAGGUCUACCCUCUCUCUCUUUCUACACAGUAGUAAUCUAUCAUCUAUACCGCUGUAAAGUCAAUAAAAUACUAUUAUAUGCUGCUUGCUUGUCUCUUUGCUAACGUGGGUCUGCCGUAGACAAUUUUACAUACCAAGGAGAACUUUAUCUUCU
rnacentral:lncRNA from 1 species